rnacentral:pre_miRNA from 1 species
UUACGUCUGUCCAAUUAUUUUGUGUUUAUUUUUAUUUCACAACAUAGAUGGCCAGACGUUACA